GGACGUGUGGAUGAAAAGGGAAUCAGGUGAGACUCCUGAACAGACCCGCUGCUGUAUGCGUUUUGGGCGUCAGUGCCGUCAGGCCGAUGCCCCGGUUGCAGAAAAACCUUUGCCACUGACUGUUAUCAGAUACGGUCGGGAAGGCUCUGCAAGCCGCGCGAAGUCAGAAGACCUGCCAUAUAUGUUUU
rnacentral:ncRNA from 1 species